rnacentral:rRNA from 1 species
CGCCAGACUCCUACGGGAGGCAGCAGUGGGGAAUAUUGCACAAUGGGGGAAACCCUGAUGCAGCGACGCCGCGUGAGCGAUGAAGUAUUUCGGUAUGUAAAGCUCUAUCAGCAGGGAAGAAGAUGACGGUACCUGACUAAGAAGCCCCGGCUAACUACGUGCCAGCAGCCGCGGUAAUACGUAGGGGGCAAGCGUUAUCCGGAUUUACUGGGUGUAAAGGGAGCGUAGACGGCGAUGCAAGCCAGAUGUGAAAGCCCGGGGCUCAACCCCGGGACUGCAUUUGGAACUGUGUGGCUGGAGUGUCGGAGAGGCAGGCGGAAUUCCUAGUGUAGCGGUGAAAUGCGUAGAUAUUAGGAGGAACACCAGUGGCGAAGGCGGCCUGCUGGACGAUGACUGACGUUGAGGCUCGAAAGCGUGGGGAGCAAACAGGAUUAGAUACCCGGGUAC